rnacentral:rRNA from 1 species
UGGCAUGUGACGAUAUAGGCAGGCACCGGACGCCCCACCUCAACUGGUGUCUGGAAGGAAGGAAGGAGGUAGCAGGGUGGCGGCACUUAACGUCCUCACCGCCUGCGCCCCCCUCUUCUUUUCUCUUCUCUUCUUUUCUCUCUAAGUGCGCGCUGCGUCGGUCCCAACGGCCGGCAGGUGGAGGAAGCCUGCAGAGGCGAGUGCCUCGGUACCCAAACUGAAGCCGUUUCCCCUAGCGGGAGUGGCAGAGGAACAAACCGGAGGAGCGCAAAGACGAGCCGCAGCAGCGUCUUUUGUUUUUCGGAGGAAUACCUUGAGGAUAGUUCCAUUUCCUACAACAGUAGACGUUCAAGGGCUCACUGGGUUGCUAACGUUACCCUUCGGACAGGUAACACCGUGAACACAAUCGACGAAAGUAACCCGUGCAACGGUAGAAAAUGGGCAUGUUCCCGUUCAGCCAAGGAGCACCUCGCAAUAAAGUCUCGUGGUCGAACAGACACAAGAAACAAUAACGACUCAUUCAAGGGAAACCGAGACACCGGUUCUUAAAGUAUACCUGAUCUACGUUGUCAUGGAUUGAUUACAAGACUACAAGCAAGUGGACAACUCGGGACGGUAAACUACUUCUAAUCGAUACGAGUCAGCAACUACCUGGGAACAAAGAAAACUAUCGCACGUGAAGUAUUUAUUUACGACUUGUAACGGUUGUAAGAUCAAGAAGCAAAGUUACCUAAUAGGAGAUCCCUUAAAUAACUCCGAAUUACAAGUUCACAAAUUAAGACGGUAAAUACCAACUCCGAACCACAAGUUCACAAAUUAAGACGUUCGACAAUAUAAAGGGGACAUACUGAUUAACUUAGUAAUGUAAUACGUGUGGCGACAGAGGACGUGAAUUAUCAUGAUUAAAUGAAUGAUACCAUUAGUUCAAAGUGUAACAAGUAAGAUGAUUGAUGUUGUUGUUGUUGUUGUUGUUUCGGAAAUCAGGGUUUGUUCAACCCCAUCCGAUCUCCACUUUGGGUAUUCUAGAGCGUUGGUUGAGUACCGAGACCGUGUACCUAUCGUUCGAAGGUGCGUGGGGACAGGUAUCGAUCGAGAAACAGCUAUGAGGUUAGGAAGUCCAGAGAGAAUUGCCUGAGGAGGGUACAGUUUUAGCCAGCUGGGGCGGGAGAGAACUGUAAGAGGCGUGCGAAAUCGGCAGGCGAUACGUAACCUCGAAGACCUCCGGACGCGACUUAUACGGGUUUGGUAGAGUUUGCUACAACCUGUUCGAAGAGGAGUUAACCACGAUGGGGUUGAGAUAGAGCAUAUAGUAGUAAGGCCUGAGCUAGGAAGGAGCACACCGGUGUGUAGGUAGAGUUGUAUGCGUAGAGGCGGUGUGGAUUGACAACUUGUACAGCGGAAAAUCAGCCGGUUGUGAGGCGCGGUAUGUUGUAACGCCCAGCUUGGCGGCAGGACAUCUUGAACGGAAAAUCGAAAACACCGUGAGAGAACAGUGUCUCUUACGGUCUUCGAACCGCGGUGAAGUAGGUAGGCCGAAACUAAGCUACCAAGUGUAGAAGUAGUUAUGGGGGUAGGAGUACGUUGUAACUGGGGUUUAUGGCUUUCCACAGGAAGGCUCCAUGGUGGACCGGUAGUUCCGAUUGGAGGAGGAGGAGUGUCGAUCAUCAUGACUUUGGCGUGUAGUACAUGAGCCAAAAUCAAGAUGAUUCGGAUUUGGGAAAGCUAAGGUUCCGACCACAGUCGAGACCGAAAACGUUACGACGAGACCCGUUGCUAGUGUCUCCCAGUGGUAGCGUGGUCAUUGUAAGUGGUACUGUACCUAUGGGACACGGGGUGGCGUUUCUGGCCGGAGAAACCUCCGCGGCGAAAGGACCGGGAACUGCGACGAGACAAGACCGAACAAACGGUCUACGACCGGGAAUUACGCUCCCGGCUGAUAGACCUACUCCUACUCCUACUCCUACUGUUCCCGCUUAUACCGGUCCAAAUACGAUGACUACGACUACCGUGCUUCCAGACUCAGCCAAUUGACGUCCUAAAGUUUUGAUCGUGGCAAAUCUAUAUUAAAUCUAAGUAAUACACAGAAACUUUUCCAACCAAAUCAAGAGGUUUUUUAACAUCUAUACAGUACGGUAAGGGUAUCAGCAUGUAUUCCAGUAAAGGAGUAAGGUCAAAGUCCGAAGUCUAACUUGUUAUUCAACACAAGACCAAACGAUGAAGGGAAAGACUUAACUUCAUAGUACAAUAGACACUUAAAAAAUACAGACGUAAAACUACAAGGCAACAAGACGAUAAACAUUUAGACCUCCACAGAAGUCUAUAGUCACACAAGUCACUUUACAUGAUUGUUAAUGAGGGAGGCAGGCCUUUAUGAACAGUAGUUUUACCUAUUUUCCUUUACAUAGAUCUACAUAAAAUCAAGAUCUAUGUAGAGAAAAACAGGUAAAACUACUGUUCAUAAAAGCCUGCCUCCCUCAUGAAUGUAAACUGUGGUACAAAGAUUCACUCCAAACUACUCUUAGUUUCUUGUCUAUGUACCUGUGUGGUCCGUAUCAUAACGAUUCAAUGUGUUUAC